rnacentral:rRNA from 1 species
UCAGGAUGAACGCUGGCGGCGUGCCUAAUACAUGCAAGUCGAACGAAGUUACUUCGGUAACUUAGUGGCGAACGGGUGAGUAACACAUGAACAACCUACCCUGACGACAGGGAUAACAGUUGAAAAGACUGCUAAUACCUGAUAGGUGAUGAGGGGGCAUCUCCACAUCAUUAAAGUUGGGCCACAACACGACAGGAUGGGUUCAUGUCGCAUUAGCUAGUUGGCGGGGUAACGGCCCACCAAGGCGAUGAUGCGUAGCCGAUCUGAGAGGAUGAACGGCCACAUUGGGACUGAGACACGGCCCAGACUCCUACGGGAGGCAGCAGUAGGGAAUUUUCGGCAAUGGGCGGAAGUCUGACCGAGCAACGCCGCGUGAAACCGAAGACGGUCUUUGGAUUGUAAAGUUCUGUUACGAGGGAAGAACAGCUAUUAUAGGGAAUGAUAAUAGAUUGACGGUACCUCGCCAGAAAGCCACGGCUAACUACGUGCCAGCCGCUGC